UGAGGGAAUAUUUGGGUCAAUGGGCGGAAGCCUGAACCAGCCAAGUAGCGUGCAAGAUGACGGCCCUAUGGGUUGUAAACUGCUUUUUCGCGGGGAUAAAGAGGGGGAUGUGUCCCCCGUUGCAGGUACCGCGUGAAUAAGGACCGGCUAAUUCCGUGCCAGCAGCCGCGGUAAUACGGAAGGUCCGGGCGUUAUCCGGAUUUAUUGGGUUUAAAGGGAGCGCAGGCCGUAUGGUAAGCGUGUUGUGAAAUGCCGUGGCUCAACCAUGGCACUGCAGCGCGAACUGCCGUACUUGAGUACGUUGGAGGUAGGCGGAAUUCGUGGUGUAGCGGUGAAAUGCUUAGAUAUC
rnacentral:rRNA from 1 species